AAGUCGUAACAAGGUUUCCGUAGGUGAACCUGCGGAAGGAUCAUUAUCGUAGGGGCCUCGCCCCCUUCGAGAUAGCACCCUUUGUUUAUGAGCACCUCUCGUUUCCUCGGCAGGCUCGCCUGCCAACGGGGACCCACCACAAACCCAUUGUAGUACAAGAAGUACACGUCUGAACAAAACAAAACAAACUAUUUACAACUUUCAACAACGGAUCUCUUGGUUCUG
rnacentral:misc_RNA from 1 species